GAGAAACUUGCACCAAGAAAUAACAGUCUAUAUUGUGAAGGAUUAUUUUUUGCUGAUUGAGAGGUGUUUGGAGAUGACAGGCAUCUGAUCUCAUCUUAAGCCUUAAAUUGCAGUAAACCCUGUAUUUAUUUACUUUUUACUUUAACCAAAUAAGACAUUAUCCUGCCUCUGAGUUAACACUUUCAGUGCUUGCUUUGGCUGAGCGCUGCUUGCCGCAGGCAUUAACUUCUUGCUGUCUCUCAAGAAGGAAUUGUGCAGAGCCACCAGCUCCUCAGCUAAAACACUCAGGAGGAUUACAUGCUUCUUUAGAAUAGGUGAUCUUGGAAUCUAAUAGCAUGUUUGCUUUGGGACCGGUUACUGAUAGAGCUUUCUAGGUGUUCUGAAUGUGGGGAAUGUAAGUGGUGAGUUGGUACGUUAGGAACCUAAACAAGAGAAGAUUUAUAGAACUAAACAUCAUUUUAUUGCCUACUUAAGAGCUUGCAGUGAAAUGUUUGUAGAAAAGAAGGUGCUUUAUCCCAAAAGAGCGGUUCUAUUUCUGCUCUUGCUAACAAUGUUACAAAGAACCAAAAGGUCUCUGUAAAUUCUCUGCUCUGAGCAAUGAAUUAAGGCAAGAUGAAUUUCUAACAGUAGGUCCUGACCAUGGGGAGAAGAACGCAUUCAAGGCAGUGGCUGGAGGCGGUCAGUUCGAUUCCAGAUCUAAUCUCGUGUGCAUUUAUACUGAUGCGUGCUUUUCCUCUCAAUGAUAAUGUGUGCAAGUAUUAUGUCUUUAAUUGCAGAAGCACCAAAAAAUAAAUGAUUGCUGUUCCCCUUGGAUGUGUUCAGUUGUUCCCAGCUUUGAUCAUCCCAUGGGCUCUCAAGGCUGAUUUCUGUGCAAGCAGGAGCUGUUACUUUGGCAAAUGAAUAUUCAGCCAUGUGUUUAGAAAUCUAAUUUACUCCCCUGGUACAUAGUGUGAACGACUGCAUGCAUUCUGGUCACAGUAUUUCUUCUUUAAUUUUCCUCCAUUUUGCACUCUUGCAAUCUCUGCAAUUUUAUUUGGCACAGUAAUUGUUAUUGUUCCAGUUGUAAUUCCUGCAACACAGGAUCCUAAUGCAGCAUUGCUUGGUGCCUUGUGAACUCCAGCACUGGCUAUUUUCAUCUUUAAGCCACAGUUAAUCCAUGACCUUGGUGCUUUUGUCUCCAGGUCUGAAUUAUGAUUCCUGCCAAGUGGACACAAAGACAAAUGAAGCAGAAAUGUACCCCACACUCUGAAGUGGCCACUGCAAUGGUAAUUGAAUAACAUCUGCUGACAGCAAGCUAAAAAAAACAAAUUGGUCAUGGAGCUGAAACAAAAGAGUAGGUACCUUUCUCAAGUACCUUUUUGUAGUGUAUCCUCAAACUCUCUCUCCACAAGACUAUCCAAGAAGCUGAACACCUGUUGAAUGUCAGGUUUCCUUUUGGAUGCAGGAGUGCAGCAUCACAUAGCAUGGUCGUUCCUCUAGCAGACUGGGCAAAUUGCUAUUGCUCAUGUUCCAGACAAGCCGUCUGAUUCUUGUUUGAAAUGCUAUCUCUAAGCUGCUUUUGUUCAAUCAGUCACUUUCAUGAAAGGUUAUAAUCAAAAGGCCAGAUUUUAG